AACAUGCUAGGUUUAGGAUUACUGCUUCAGACAGUGUGAAUCAAAUAUUUGUAUCAUCCUUUGAGAAUAAAAGAAAGUGUGUAGUGAUACGGAAACUUUUAGGGGGCAAACACAGAACAAAAAAGAGCUGCUGCAUUCAUUACCGCUGCAAAAGAUAAAAGUAACUGAUCAGCUCAGAGCGAGCAUUUUGUGUAUACCUUGCAUAGAAAGAAAAGGAUUCAAGUAUGAUCAAAUUAGGUUUAUUACAAAGUAAUGACAUAUUUCUGCUAUGAAACUGGCUGGAUAUGAAUAUUCAGCAAUUUCUUGUUCUGGUUCAUGGUUUGCCUGAGAAAACUCAGUUCUCAUGACAGCUAACAACAUUUCACCUGGGAUUAAAGUAAACCACAUUAUUCCUGUUUUCCUGGCUUUACAAAUGUCCAGCUAUGUAUUCUAGUGUAUUCAUGCAUUAAGGAACAGAAAAAUCCUAAGAGGCCUGGGGUUUUCUUUGUUGGACUGGGAGGUUGUAAUUGAAGAAAUGCACAGCAGAGACACAGUUUAUCCCCAGUACUACUGAACAGGACAGCCUUUGAUCAUCAUUGUGGUUGAAGGGUACUAACUCAGUCUCCCUCCCUCAAGGACUGAUAUGGGACUGCCUGUACAUACCUGUUGUCCCAGUGAAUAGCUACGUGAUGGGAGAACUUUGCACCUGAUUCACAGCUGAGUGACAUCAGCUCAUGAAGCUAAAAGCUUUCAGCCUAAUGGACACCACAUAUUGUAAUAUCAUAUGAGCACUCAGCAGAUCAGACUGACCGUAUUGCUCUUCCCUUUGGAGGACACUGGUCUCCACGGUCUUCUUACCAGUGAAGCACCCUGAGGCACUUCUCACGCUGCUGCCUGCCUAUCUUUGCCAGAAUGGUAUUCUGAUUGAUGUGCCAAGGGUCCCACGGGCCUGCACAGAAACCAAGGAAGGGCCUGAGGAACUGAGGAUGGUGUGUGAAGGAGACACUUUUCUUGAUCCAGCUGGCCUAUCGUUGGGGUGCACAGCCAAAUCUGGAAACAGCAAAGUGCUGCCAGAAAGACAGAUGUGGUCAUGCCAGCCCUUAGACAGCCUUCUGAGGUACCUGUUAUUUAACCCUCAUAUUGAAUAUGUGAUGGGCUAAAACUGAUUAAAAAGCAAAUAAAAUGGCAUGGGCAAUUUAAUGA